rnacentral:rRNA from 1 species
CCUACGGGUGGCAGCAGUGGGGAAUAUUGGACAAUGGGCGAAAGCCUGAUCCAGCCAUGCCGCGUGUGUGAAGAAGGCCUUCGGGUUGUAAAGCACUUUCAGUGGGGAAGAAAGCCUUGGGGCUAAUACCCUCGAGGAAGGACAUCACCCACAGAAGAAGCACCGGCUAACUCCGUGCCAGCAGCCGCGGUAAUACGGAGGGUGCGAGCGUUAAUCGGAAUUACUGGGCGUAAAGCGCGCGUAGGCGGUCUGAUAAGCCGGUUGUGAAAGCCCCGGGCUCAACCUGGGAACGGCAUCCGGAACUGUCAGGCUAGAGUGCGGGAGAGGAAGGUAGAAUUCCCGGUGUAGCGGUGAAAUGCGUAGAGAUCGGGAGGAAUACCAGUGGCGAAGGCGGCCUUCUGGACUGACACUGACGCUGAGGUGCGAAAGCGUGGGUAGCAAACAGGAUUAGAUACCCCUGUAGUC